GUUGUGAGGUUAAGCGACUAAGCGUACACGGUGGAUGCCCUGGCAGUCAGAGGCGAUGAAGGACGUGCUAAUCUGCGAUAAGCGUCGGUAAGGUGAUAUGAACCGUUAUAACCGGCGAUUUCCGAAUGGGGAAACCCAGUGUGAUUCGUCACACUAUCAUUAACUGAAUCCAUAGGUUAAUGAGGCGAACCGGGGGAACUGAAACAUCUAAGUACCCCGAGGAAAAGAAAUCAACCGAGAUUCCCCCAGUAGCGGCGAGCGAACGGGGAGCAGCCCAGAGCCUGAAUCAGUGUGUGUGUUAGUGGAAGCGUCUGGAAAGGCGUGCGAUACAGGGUGACAGCCCCGUACACAAAAAUGCACAUACUGUGAGCUCGAUGAGUAGGGCGGGACACGUGGUAUCCUGUCUGAAUAUGGGGGGACCAUCCUCCAAGGCUAAAUACUCCUGACUGACCGAUAGUGAACCAGUACCGUGAGGGAAAGGCGAAAAGAACCCCGGCGAGGGGAGUGAAAAAGAACCUGAAACCGUGUACGUACAAGCAGUGGGAGCACGCUUAGGCGUGUGACUGCGUACCUUUUGUAUAAUGGGUCAGCGACUUAUAUUCUGUAGCAAGGUUAACCGAAUAGGGGAGCCGAAGGGAAACCGAGUCUUAACUGGGCGUUAAGUUGCAGGGUAUAGACCCGAAACCCGGUGAUCUAGCCAUGGGCAGGUUGAAGGUUGGGUAACACUAACUGGAGGACCGAACCGACUAAUGUUGAAAAAUUAGCGGAUGACUUGUGGCUGGGGGUGAAAGGCCAAUCAAACCGGGAGAUAGCUGGUUCUCCCCGAAAGCUAUUUAGGUAGCGCCUCGUGAAUUCAUCUCCGGGGGUAGAGCACUGUUUCGGCAAGGGGGUCAUCCCGACUUACCAACCCGAUGCAAACUGCGAAUACCGGAGAAUGUUAUUACGGGAGACACACGGCGGGUGCUAACGUCCGUCGUGAAGAGGGAAACAACCCAGACCGCCAGCUAAGGUCCCAAAGUCAUGGUUAAGUGGGAAACGAUGUGGGAAGGCCCAGACAGCCAGGAUGUUGGCUUAGAAGCAGCCAUCAUUUAAAGAAAGCGUAAUAGCUCACUGGUCGAGUCGGCCUGCGCGGAAGAUGUAACGGGGCUAAACCAUGCACCGAAGCUGCGGCAGCGACGCUUAUGCGUUGUUGGGUAGGGGAGCGUUCUGUAAGCCUGUGAAGGUGUGCUGUGAGGUAUGCUGGAGGUAUCAGAAGUGCGAAUGCUGACAUAAG
rnacentral:rRNA from 1 species